GUGAACCGUUGCAUGGGCUCUUCCUGUGGGCUAUUUUAGUUGCUGUGUGCUGCAGCCCAUUGGAGUCUACAGCUCGUUUAGCUCGUGAGCAGCUCACGAGCAGCUCGAGCCAGCUCGUUAUAACUAAUGAGCAAAAUACUAGCUCGCCUCAUUAUGAAAAUACACCGAGCCAUGGGAGCUAACGAGGCACGAACAUUCACACGUAGAAAAACAACAUUUCAUUCUUAAUAAAAAUCUCGAUUAUUUUUAUCUUUA
rnacentral:lncRNA from 1 species